rnacentral:rRNA from 1 species
UACGGAGGGUGCAAGCGUUAUCCGGAUUCACUGGGUUUAAAGGGUGCGUAGGCGGGCAGGUAAGUCAGUGGUGAAAUCCUAGAGCUUAACUCUAGAACUGCCAUUGAUACUAUCUGUCUUGAAUAUUGUGGAGGUAAGCGGAAUAUGUCACGUAGCGGUGAAAUGCUUAGAUAUGACAUAGAACACCUAUUGCGAAGGCAGCUUACUACGCAUAUAUUGACGCUGAGGCACGAAAGCGUGGGGAUCAAACAGG